GCUUUUCAGAGGUAUGCAUCUCUGUUUUACAGAUGCAGAGAAGGAACUGGGAUAAAGGGACUGCGUAACAGGAAGCAAUGAAUCCUUGUUGAAGCAUCAGACAGCAGGAGCUGUUGGCCAGAUGCUGCUGGAUGCUGACAGGGGAAAGCUGAUUUGGAGACACGCGGCCAGAAAUGUUUGGACACGUCCUCACUUUGAAUCUGGCAUUUGAGUGAGUGUCCCUGCUUCAUGAGGCUUUGAAUUUGAGCCUUGUCUGGUAACCUGCUUUC
rnacentral:lncRNA from 1 species